UAAUCGUCAGCGGCCCUUCCCGAGCCAACCUCAUAAACGGCAACCUAAGUAAAAACUGCGCUUGGGGUGCACGCGCCGAGUCAAGCCAGGUCCCCGAACCCUUCCCCGUUCCACCUGAAGGCCGCCCCUCGUCCCCUCCCGGGAAGAGGUUUCCGAGAGGCUUGCUGGGGCCCCGCUCCUCCUCCCCUCAAGGGAGCACUCCCUCCGUUCCGCUCCCGAGUGUUCUCGCCUCAAGGACAGCCAGUGCGCGGUCAGCAGAGUGCGGGAGGCGCUGGCUCCGGCUCCACUCCGCGCUCCUCCUCGGACGACAACGUCGCGGCGUGGUCCUCGCGGGGCUCCAGAGACCCAGAUAAAAGAUGAAGUUAAUCAAGUAUGUCUGCCAUCUAUUGUUUUGAAUGGAGUUUUCCAAAGGUUGCAUAUCACGAGAUGUUGUGACAGAUUGAAUGCAAAAGCAGACACGGAAAUCCAGCUGUCUCCGAUUAAUCCAGACAUUAAAGAGAUCAGCAAAGCUGUAAAACAACGCCACUCUUCUCACGGCCUUUUUAUUUAUUUUGGAAAAUGUAAUAAAUUUAAAUA